ACAUAUUGAAAGAAAAAAAGAGAAGAAAAGAAAGGGAGAAAAAAACACUUGAAGAAAGUAUAAGUGUCUUCAAACAGCUCGGCUGUUUAAUCCGCAGCUUUGAAGUGCUGUGGGGGCUGCAGAUGUCUCAUCUCCCCAUUUGUCUAGUGCCUAUUGAGAGGCAUUGAGGAGAUCCGCAGGGAAAAAGGAGCUCAACACCCCCAGAUGCAUAAUCGGUGCACUCUGGCUUGACUGAAGAGAGCUGAGUUUGCAAGACACACUGGUGAGAGAAAAUGUUGACAAA